GGAAUAUAAGAACCCGUCUCUUAACUUUUAACUAAAAAAGUUAAAAACCGGUUCUUAAAACUCUUAUUUAAGAACCGGUUCUUAGUUUUUUUAGUUAAAAGUUAAGAGACGGGUUCUUAUAUUCC
rnacentral:pre_miRNA from 1 species